rnacentral:rRNA from 1 species
CCUACGGGGGGCAGCAGUAGGGAAUAUUGCUCAAUGGGGGAAACCCUGAAGCAGCAACGCCGCGUGGAGGAUGAAGGUUUUCGGAUUGUAAACUCCUUUUGUUAGAGACGAUAAUGACGGUAUCUAACGAAUAAGCACCGGCUAACUCCGUGCCAGCAGCCGCGGUAAUACGGAGGUUGCAAGCGUUACUCGGAAUCACUGGGCGUAAAGAGCGCGUAGGCGGGAAAGCAAGUCAGAUGUGAAAUCCUAGGGCUUAACCAUAGAACUGCAUUUGAAACUGUUAUUCUAGAGUAUGGGAGAGGCAGGCGGAAUUCUUGGUGUAGGGGUAAAAUCCGUAGAGAUCAAGAGGAAGACUCAUUGCGAAGGCGACCUGCUAGAACAUAACUGACGCUGAUGCGCAAAAGCGUGGGGAGCAAACAGGAUUAGAUACCCCAGUAGUC